rnacentral:rRNA from 1 species
GAUGAACGCUGGCGGCGUGCUUAACACAUGCAAGUCGAACGAGAAGUGGAGACGGAAACCUUCGGGCGGAAGACUUUACUUCGAGUGGCGGACGGGUGAGUAACGCGUGGGUAACCUGCCUCAUACAGGGGGAUAACAGUUGGAAACGACUGUUAAUACCGCAUAAGACCACAGCACCGCAUGGUGCGGGGGUAAAAACUCCGGUGGUAUGAGAUGGACCCGCGUUCGAUUAGCCAGUUGGCGGGGUAACGGCCCACCAAAGCGACGAUCGAUAGCCGAUCUGAGAGGAUGACCGGCGACAUUGGGACUGAGACGCGGCCCAAACUCCUACGGGAGGCAGCAGUGGGGAAUAUUGCACAAUGGGGGAAACGCUGAUGCAGCGACGCCGCGUGAGUGAAGAAGUAUUUCGGUAUGUAAAGCUCUAUAAGAAGGGAAGAAAAUGACAGUACCUGAGUAAGAAGCCCCGGCUAACUACGUG